UAAAGUUUUCUUUAGUUUGAAUAUCAAAAUGUAUUCUAUGGCCUUGUAUAUUCCAAAACAUUCACCAGUGAACACUGAUGUUUCAGAUGGUAAUUUUAUCUUUUCAACUAUUUUUGAUUGCGAAUGGUAGACUCCUACACCAACACAACCUUGAGGGUGUUUGGAAGCAUCUGUAUAUAUAUGGUUAUAGUCAUUCCAGUCUUGGUCUAUUACAAAAUUAAAGUUAGUAUUUGGUUGGGGUUGAUACUUAGAAAUACCCAUGUCAAGAUGAAUAUCCGGUUUUAAAAUCAAUGCCAUAUAGUUUACACAAAAUAGAGGGAAAAUAUGAGAGUGAUUAGUUGGAGUUUGAAUAGACAAAUAUUUUCUGUAGCUAAUUAUUAAACAUGGUAACUGUUUAUGUUUCCAAAAUGAAGAGUACCGGUAAAAUGGGGCGAUUAGGGAUUGACAGGCGAAUCGGGAAAAAACCGGGAAAAUCUUUCGACGCUCAAUAUAAGUUUUAUAUUCGUUGCAAAAUCUUCCAUUUUUUGUAGUUUAAUAGUAGAAUGUUGAAAGUUUAUACAACAACUCUGAAUAUGCAUGAUAAUAGCUGCUAACUUAUAAAAAAUCGCGUUUCAAAUUAACUUCCUGUGGUGGUCAUUAUUUUAGUGCUAGAAACUUUGCUCUCUUUUAUUUAUUUGAUAAUAAUAGAAGACGACUAUGAUUUAUAAACGUUAUUUAGUGUUUGAACCAGCAUAUAUAUUAAAGGAAAGUCUCAGUUGUUAUUGUUUUUAAUGUAUUUGAUUAAAUAAAAAUACAUGUAAAAAUCUGUUGUUUUUGGGGAUAUUGGGGACGUCUUAGGUACAAAUAACAACGAAAAAGGAGUCAAUUGGGAUGAGAAUACGUGAAAUGGAAACGACCUAAGUAUAAAUAGGUACAUGUUUGUAGGGUUGUCUAUGUAGUUAUAACAAUUUUUUUUAAAUUUGUUGGUAAAAAUCUGGUUUAUUCGAAGCGAAAUUGGGAAUAAGUCUUUAUUUGAAAUAGAUAAGCAAUUUAAUAUAAGUAAGUCGAUUUUGCAGAGACAUGUAACAAGAUCAAUGAAAUCUCAAGGUGGACAAAAAUGUCUAAGUAAUACAUAAUAAAAUAUUUAAUAUUUGUUCAUCUGAUUAAUCCAUGGAAUAACCGACACACCUAAUCUCUUAACCCAGAUAGAAAUAUCAGCACUGUCGAUUGCACCUAUAAUUGAGGUGAUGUCUGCCAUGUACUUUUGUCAGUUUUUCAAUUUUUUUUAUUGAUGAUCACUUUGUUGGUGCAACUAAAUAAAUGAAUAAAUUAAAACUAUAUAUAAAAAUAGAAGUAGUGCCAACCCUAGGAAAUUUCUCAUUUCGUCCCAAUUAACCGCAAUUUUCGGGUAAAUAGGGAUUACACCUAUUUUUGCAUUUUUUGCUUAAACUGGAAUGCUAGUUGCAUAAUUUUAAAUUAGACAACAAAGAUGCCCCCAAGACUCAAUCAUUUUGAUCCUGAUAUAGCAUUAUAUACAUCAACAACUACCUUAAAAUUGCUCAUAAAGUUGGAAUUUGUCCCUAAUCGCCCCAUUUUACGGUAUUCUAUGAGUUCAUUUAAAGUUUUAAGUUUGGUAAUAAUGUGAUUAUUUUGAAUUUGUAGGGAUUUGAAAACGAAUUUAUCAGAUAAAUAUUGACGUCUCAAAUGAAGAGGAGGAUCAACACAUUCUACCUGUAAUGCUGUAACAGGACUAGAUUUCAUGGCUCCAGUGAUAAUUCUGAGUGAUUUAGACUGUAUAGUGUCUAGUUUUUUGAAAGCAUUCACAUCCCCUGGUUGAAGUAAAAAAGUACCAUAAUCUAAAACUGAUCUUACUAUGGCAUUAUAUAAAAGUUUUAAAUUGAAUGGGUGGGCACCCCACCAUACACCAGCAAGAGAACAUGAGAGAGCUAUGGGUCUGUAUGACAAUACAUCUGAUGAAGAUUUACCCGGUUUGAGAAUGGGUAAAAUAAUUUGUUUUUUCCAUGACUCUGGGAUAACACAUGUAAUGAACAUAGAAUUUAUAAGGUUGAGGUAAUAUGUGAGACUAGAAUCACUCAAAUGGACAAAGAAAGAAUAAGGAAUCUUAUCAUCACCUGGAGCAGAGUCCUUAAGAUUCGAGAUUACCCCCUUCAGUUCAUUAAAUGAAAAAGGUAAAUCAAAAUCUGAAACUGGAUCUGAACAUGAGAAAGGAAGGACAGACGGGAUAAGAACUAAACAUUCUUCUGGAACAUAAGGGGGAGCUAAUUUAUCAAGAAACUUGUCAGCCAGAUCAUAAGG